rnacentral:pre_miRNA from 1 species
GAUAUUGGCACGGCUCAAUCAAACAACUGCACCACUUUUAUUUACAUCUCUGUAAACAUUGGUGGUAUAUAUAUAAGUCUGAAUGAACCGAGCCAACAUCAC